GAGAGCCAUUCAUUCUUAUCUCUUUUAAAUUACAUUAUAACCUAACCUACAGCUCGGAUAUAUAAACGCUAUAGCAUAGAGCCCUUUGCACCAACUAGCUACGCCGGCCUCUUGCUCUAAGAGCAGAUGAAUUAUAAUUAUCUGUGGAAAUUCCCAAGCAGAAGAAGAAGAAGAAUCAAGGAUAAAACAAGCCUCAAUAAUGAUCGUUAUGUGGAAAUUUUCACACGAAGAGCGAGAGAUGGCGCAACCAUGAGCGAAGAUCUACAAGGCCGGGUGAGUGGAUUCCAUGCUAUUCUUGUCAAGUGACCAGUGUCCUUUUGCAAAUUAGUCUUAGUUUCGUUGUCUGUUCGACCUGAAUCAGGCCUCUAUAUAUGGUGUAGUACUAGACUAGUUAGACUCCUGAGAAACCCUAAUUUCAGAUCGAAGUUGUGUGGUGAAUACUAGACCAGGAGGACGUAUGCCGGAUUAAAGUCAUAAAAUUCUCGAUUCAUGUUAGGUUAGCUUUCUAGGUUUAUAAUUCUCGAUUAAGACAGAUGUACCUUGAAGCAAAGUCUCUUUGUUGUGACCAAACAUUGGUGCUGACAAACUUUUCUUUGUGGGAUCGCAAUUUAUUAGGAGUCUACCAGCAAACAGAAUUAGAUCAAUCAGACAGAAGUGGUUGGUCAAUUAAAAUAGGGAGACAACAAUAAUUAAGAAAGGAAGCAAGAUGGGCGUGUAAUUCCCGGUUCUUUGAAUUCUCGAAACCCUAACUAAGAAGGCCGGAGCUUAUCCAUUUUUUGCAAUUUUCUUUUGGAUCCUUUGGGAAUUUAGGUUUAAGUUUAUGUCUUGUCUCUUGGUUAAAGCAGUGCGUAGAGUUGAUGGCCAUUUAGUUAGAAUUAGUAAUACAAACCAUAAGAUAUAAUUGAAGUCUAUGAGGCUGUCUUCCCCAAGAAUGAGGCAGAUAGAGGGCCAAAUUCCUCUGUAACGUACCUUUCAGCUAAUUAAAUGGAUCAGAUAUUAUUUAGGUGUACAUCUUUGGUCAGAUAUUCUGUAUACGUACAUAUACAUUCAGGUCUACACCCUAGAAAGUUAAUAGUUUAGUUUAGGUCGAAGGGACAUCGAAUCUGAGGUAUAAGCAAGGAGACUGUUCAUUUGACAAGGGUUUGCAUGGAAUUCAACAUCCAAUAUUACUUGAUCGAGUUCCGAGCCUUAUCUCUUCAAAGCGUCUCUCAUAUCCUUGAUCUUCACCGAAAGUUGCCUAAUAGCCGUGCAUCACACAAAGGAGGUAAAACGUACUGUCACCACUCACCAGCCCAUCUCCUACUCUAUAUAUGAUAUGAAUGUUUACCUGCAGCGCCUGCUGUUACAAUUGUAGGAAGCGGGAACAGCCAGAACUUCAGUAUUUCAACAUAUUUAAGGGUCAGCUAGUAGCUCAGGUCGAUAUAUACAGCAGUGGCACACAAGAAAAGGAGCUAGGUAGUCCUCUCGAUCUUAACCAAUACGAAGCUACCAAGUUUAGCUGGAUUAACUCUCUCUUUUCAAAGUGGUCUUCUCCAAAUGGUGGUGCAUUUCAGAUAAAGAAGAGGAGACCUAUGAUAUGUAGUCAUAUACCACGUUUUUCUUUACCAUGGUGCAGCAUCCCACAAGUCCACCAAAGAGGAAGCAACUCUUUCGCGGCUGUGACUUGCCCUAGAUCAUGCACGUGGGAUUCGUUCCAAAACAAAGACAUUUCAAAUUUGAGCAUGAAUAGAUCAACGAUUGCUAGUUUGCCUAGAAACCCAUCGUGCAAUGUUCCUGUUUUUCCAAGCAAUUAACGAGGAAAAGGAAAACAAACAAAUGUACUCUAGUAUUUGCUCAUGUGAGACACUAGUUUAUAGUCUUUUUUUAGUAAUACCACAGCCCUGUAUUAAACUUCAUUGCAGAAAUGAGAAAAAAAAUGUAUAGAUUCUAGAAUUG